GUGAGGAAUAUUGGACAAUGGGCGCAAGCCUGAUCCAGCCAUGCCGCGUGCAGGAAGACGCAUCUAUGGUGUGUAAACUGCUUUUGUACGGGAAGAAACACUCCCUCGUGAGGGAGCUUGACGGUACCGUAAGAAUAAGGAUCGGCUAACUCCGUGCCAGCAGCCGCGGUAAUACGGAGGAUCCAAGCGUUAUCCGGAAUCAUUGGGUUUAAAGGGUCCGUAGGCGGUUUAAUAAGUCAGUGGUGAAAGCCCAUCGCUCAACGAUGGAACGGCCAUUGAUACUGUUAGACUUGAAUUACAAGGAAGUAACUAGAAUAUGUAGUGUAGCGGUGAAAUGCUUAGAUAUUACAUGGAAUACCAAUUGCGAAGGCAGGUUACUACUUGUGGAUUGACGCUGAUGGACGAAAGCGUGGGGAGCGAACGGGAUUAGAAACCCUGUAGUCC
rnacentral:rRNA from 1 species